UACGUAGGGGGCAAGCGUUGUCCGGAUUUAUUGGGCGUAAAGAGCGCGUAGGCGGCUUUACAGGUCCGUUGUGAAAACUCGAGGCUCAACCUCGAGACGCCGGUGGAAACCGUAAAGCUAGAGUCCGGAAGAGGAGAGUGGAAUUCCUGGUGUAGCGGUGAAAUGCGCAGAUAUCAGGAAGAACACCGGUGGCUAAGGCGGCUCUCUAGUACGGUACUGACGCUGAGGCGCGAAAGCGUGGGGAGCGAACAGG
rnacentral:rRNA from 1 species